GGGCUCGUAGUUAAACGGUAGAACAUGGCAUUCGCAUUGCCAAGAUGGGGGUUCAAUUCCCCCCGAGUCCACCA
rnacentral:tRNA from 1 species